CGGGUUUACUCCUGGAUGUUACCGAUUCGUCCAGCCGGAGCCGGACGGCGUUUUGGUGUCUGAUUCGGUAAACGAAUCGGGAGCACCAUCUGCGUAGGCUUGAGGUUUAAGGCUUGCGCCGCCUACGGUCUUGGAUAGCCCCCGCCAGGCAGGGACCCCAAUACCUGCGGGUGAUGGGCCAGGCCCACCA
rfam:Pseudomonas knackmussii B13 complete genome